rnacentral:rRNA from 1 species
GACGUAAGGCGCGAGCGUUGUCCGGAUUUAUUGGGCGUAAAGAGCUCGUAGGCGGCUUGUCGCGUCGUCCGUGAAAACCUGCAGCUCAACUGCAGGCUUGCGGUCGAUACGGGCAGGCUGGAGUUCGGUAGGGGAGACUGGAAUUUCUGGUGUAGCGGUGAAAUGCGCAGAUAUCAGGAGGAACACCGGUGGCGAAGGCGGGUCUCUGGGCCGAUACUGACGCUGAGGAGCGAAAGCGUGGGGAGCGAACAGG